UACGAAGGGGGCUAGCGUUGUUCGGAAUUACUGGGCGUAAAGCGCACGUAGGCGGAUAUUUAAGUCAGGGGUGAAAUCCCAGAGCUCAACUCUGGAACUGCCUUUGAGACUGAGUGGCUUGAGUACGAGAGAGGUGAGUGGAAUUCCCAGUGUAGAGGUGAAAUUCGUAGAUAUUCGCAAGAACACCAGUGGCGAAGGCGGCUCACUGGCCCGAUACUGACGCUGAGGCACGAAAGCGUGGG
rnacentral:rRNA from 1 species